UACAGAGGGGGCAAGCGUUAUUCGGAAUUAUUGGGCGUAAAGCGCGCGUAGGCGGCCCGGUAAGUCCGCUGUGAAAGUCAAAGGCUCAACCUUUGAAUGUCAGCGGAUACUGUCGGGCUAGAGUGCGGAAGAGGCGAGUGGAAUUCCUGGUGUAGCGGUGAAAUGCGCAGAUAUCAGGAGGAACACCAAUUGCGAAGGCAGCUCGCUGGGACGUAACUGACGCUGAGACGCGAAAGCGUGGGGGAGCAAACAGG
rnacentral:rRNA from 1 species